AUUCCAUGAUGAGGGCAUCUUCGUAAUAGUUCUUUAAACCUUUCCCAUGCCUCAUAAAAAGACUCAUCAUGGAAGGUAGUGAUCUCAUUCCUCAACUU
rfam:Gossypium raimondii Chr07_contig_729, whole genome shotgun sequence.